UACGAAGGGGGCUAGCGUUGCUCGGAAUUACUGGGCGUAAAGCGCACGUAGGCGGCUUCUUAAGUCGGUGGUGAAAUCCUGGAGCUCAACUCCAGAACUGCCUUCGAUACUGAGGAUCUUGAGUUCGGGAGAGGUGAGUGGAACUGCGAGUGUAGAGGUGAAAUUCGUAGAUAUUCGCAAGAACACCAGUGGCGAAGGCGGCUCACUGGCCCGAUACUGACGCUGAGGCACGAAAGCGUGGGGAGCAAACAGG
rnacentral:rRNA from 1 species